GUGGCAGUAGCUCAGUGGUAGGUCUCUCGUCUCGCACGCGGGAAGACCUGGGUUCGAUUCCCAGCUGCUUCC
rnacentral:tRNA from 1 species